rfam:Triticum aestivum genome assembly, contig: Triticum_aestivum_CS42_TGACv1_scaffold_578580_7BL
CAAAUAUUCCCUCCGUCCGGAAAUACUUGUCGGAGGAAUGGAUGUAUCUAUACGUAUUUUAGUUUUAGAAACAUACGUUUUUAUGCAUUUCUCCGACAAGUAUUUCCGAACGGAGGAAGUAUUUA